AGGGCCUUUGCUCAGUAGCAGAGCACCUGCUCUCCAUGCAGAAGCCUCUGGGUUCAAUCCCCAGUAUCUCUAGGUCCCA